rnacentral:rRNA from 1 species
GAUGAACGCUAGCUACAGGCUUAACACAUGCAAGUCGAGGGGAAACGACAUCGAAAGCUUGCUUUUGAUGGGCGUCGACCGGCGCACGGGUGAGUAACGCGUAUCCAACCUGCCCACCACUUGGGGAUAACCUUGCGAAAGUCAGACUAAUACCCAAUGACGUCUCUAGAAGACCUCUGAAAGAGAUUAACGAUUUAUCGGUGAUGGAUUGGGAUGGGUCUGAUUAGCUUGUUGGCGGGGUAACGGCCCACCAAGGCGACGAUGAGUAGGGGUGCUGAGGGGAAGGUCCACCACAUUGGAGCUGAGACACGGUCCAAACUCCUACGGGAGGCAGCAGUGAGGAAGAUUGGUCGAGGGGCGAGAGCCUGAACCAGCCAAGUAGCGUGAAGGAUGACGGCCCUAUGGGUUGUAAACUGCUUUUAUAAGGGAAUAAAGUGAGUCUCGUGAGACUUUUUGCAUGUACCUUAUGAAUAAGGACCGGCUAAUUCCGUGCCAGCAGCCGCCGUAA